AUUGAACGCUGGCGGCAUGCCUUACACAUGCAAGUCGAACGGUAACAGGUUAAGCUGACGAGUGGCGAACGGGUGAGUAAUGUAUCGGAACGUGCCCAGUCGUGGGGGAUAACUACUCGAAAGAGUGGCUAAUACCGCAUACGACCUGCGGGUGAAAGCGGGGGACCGUAAGGCCUCGCGCGAUUGGAGCGGCCGAUAUCAGAUUAGCUAGUUGGUGGGGUAAAGGCCUACCAAGGCAACGAUCUGUAGUUGGUCUGAGAGGACGACCAGCCACACUGGGACUGAGACACGGCCCAGACUCCUACGGGAGGCAGCAGUGGGGAAUUUUGGACAAUGGGCGCAAGCCUGAUCCAGCAAUGCCGCGUGCAGGAAGAAGGCCUUCGGGUUGUAAACUGCUUUUGUCAGGGAAGAAAUCCUCUAGGUUAAUACCCUUGGGGGGAUGACGGUACCUGAAGAAUAAGCACCGGCUAACUACGUGCCAGCCGCCGCGGUAAAAC
rnacentral:rRNA from 1 species